GACGAACGCUGGCAGCAUGCCUAACACAUGCAAGUCGAACGAGACCUUCGGGUCUAGUGGCGCACGGGUGCGUAACGCGUGGGAACCUGCCUUUAGGUUCGGAAUAACUCAGAGAAAUUUGAGCUAAUACCGGAUGAUGUCUUCGGACCAAAGAUUUAUCGCCUUUAGAUGGGCCCGCGUUGGAUUAGCUAGUUGGUGGGGUAAAGGCCUACCAAGGCGACGAUCCAUAGCUGGUCUGAGAGGAUGAUCAGCCACACUGGGACUGAGACACGGCCCAGACUCCUACGGGAGGCAGCAGUGGGGAAUAUUGGACAAUGGGCGAAAGCCUGAUCCAGCAAUGCCGCGUGAGUGAUGAAGGCCUUAGGGUUGUAAAGCUCUUUUACCCGAGAUGAUAAUGACAGUAUCGGGAGAAUAAGCUCCGGCUAACUCCGUG
rnacentral:rRNA from 1 species